rnacentral:rRNA from 1 species
UGUGGGGACGGAGGAGGUUAACUCAGCCGGGUGUUGGAUGUCCCGGUUCAAGCGUGUAGACGUGCUGUUUAGGCAAAUCCGGACGGCUUAGUUGAGACGUGAUAACGCAACACUCCUCGGAGUGCCAAGUGAGCGAUACCAUGCUUCCAGGAAAAGCCACUAAGCUUCAGUUGAAUGAAGACCGUACCGUAAACCGACACAGGUGGGUAGGAUGAGAAUUCUAAGGCGCUUGAGAGAACUCAGGAGAAGGAACUCGGCAAAAUAGCACCGUAACUUCGGGAAAAGGUGUGCCCUUUGUAUGUGUAGCGCCUCGCGCGUGAAGCAGAAUAGGGUUGCAAUGAAAUGGUGGCUGCGACUGUUUAAUAAAAACAUAGCACUCUGCAAACACGAAAGUGGACGUAUAGAGUGUGACGCCUGCCCGGUGCCGGAAGGUUAAAUGAUGGGGUGCAAGCUCUUGAUUGAAGCCCCGGUAAACGGCGGCCGUAACAAUAACGGUCCUAAGGUAGCGAAAUUCCUUGUCGGGUAAGUUCCGACCUGCACGAAUGGCGUAACGAUGGCCACACUGUCUCCUCCUGGGACUCAGCGAAGUUGAAAUGUUUGUGAAGAUGCAAUCUCCCCGCGGCUAGACGGAAAGACCCCGUGCACCUUUACUGUAGCUUUACAUUGGACUUUGAUAACAUCUGUGUAGGAUAGGUGGGAGGCUUUGAAGUGGACUCGCUAGAGUUCAUGGAGCCAUCGUUGAAAUACCACCCUGAUGUUGUUGGGGUUCUAACCUAGAUCCAUUAUCUGGAUUGGGGACCGUGUAUGGUAGGCAGUUUGACUGGGGCGGUCUCCUCCCAAAUUGUAACGGAGGAGUACGAAGGUACGCUAGGUACGGUCGGAAAUCGUGCUGAUAGUGCAAUGGCAAAAGCGUGCUUGACUGCGAGACUGACAAGUCGAGCAGAUGCGAAAGCAGGUCAUAGUGAUCCGGUGGUUCUGUAUGGAAGGGCCAUCGCUCAACGGAUAAAAGGUACGCCGGGGAUAACAGGCUGAUUCCUCCCAAGAGUUCAUAUCGACGGGGGAGUUUGGCACCUCGAUGUCGGCUCAUCACAUCCUGGGGCUGUAGCCGGUCCCAAGGGUAUGGCUGUUCGCCAUUUAAAGUGGUACGUGAGCUGGGUUUAAAACGUCGUGAGACAGUUUGGUCCCUAUCUGCCGUGGGCGUUGGAAGUUUGAGUGGACCUGCUCCUAGUACGAGAGGACCGGAGUGGACGCACCUCUGGUGUACCGGUUAUGACGCCAGUCGUAUCGCCGGGUAGCUAAGUGCGGAAGAGAUAACCGCUGAAAGCAUCUAAGCGGGAAACUCUCCUCAAGAUGAGACUUCCCGAGGGUUUAACCCUCCUAAAGGUUCGUCGAAGACUACGACGUUGAUAGGUCGGGUGUGGAAGCAUAGUAAUAUGUUAAGCUAACCGAUACUAAUUGACCGUGAGGCUUGAUCCG